rnacentral:rRNA from 1 species
GACGAACGCUGGCGGCGUGCCUAAUACAUGCAAGUAGAACGCAGUUGCGAACGGGUGAGUAACGCGUAGGUAACUGCCUGGUAGCGGGGGAUAACUAUUGGAAACGAUAGCUAAUACCGCAUACUACCAGAUGGACCUGCGUUGUAUUAGCUAGUUGGUGGGGUAACGGCUCACCAAGGCAACGAUACCUAGCCGACCUGGGAGGGUGAUCGGCCAACCUGGGAAUGGGACCCGGCCCAGGCUCCUAAGGGAGGCAGCAGGAGGGAAUCUUCGGCAAUGGGCGGAAGGCUGACCGAGCAACGCCGCGUGGGUGAAGAAGGUUUUCGGAUCGUAAAGCUCUGUUGUAAGGGAAGCGGUAUCUUACCAGAAAGGGACGGCUAACUACGUGCCAGCAGCCGCGGUAAUUC